CGGUAGCAGGAAGUGCUUGCACUUUGCUGACGAGUGGCGGACGGGUGAGUAAUACUUAGGAACAUGCCUUUGUGUGGGGGAUAACCAUUGGAAACGAUGGCUAAUACCGCAUAAUGUCUUUGGACCAAAGAGGGCUUUCGGGCUCUCGCGCAAAGAGUGGCCUAAGUGAGAUUAGCUUGUUGGUGAGGUAAAGGCUCACCAAGGCGACGAUCUCUAGCUGUUCUGAGAGGAAGAUCAGCCACACUGGGACUGAGACACGGCCCAGACUCCUACGGGAGGCAGCAGUGGGGAAUAUUGCACAAUGGGGGCAACCCUGAUGCAGCCAUGCCGCGUGUGUGAAGAAGGCCUUCGGGUUGUAAAGCACUUUCAGUUGUGAGGAAAGGUUGAUGGUUAAUACCCAUCAGCUGUGACGUUAGCAACAGAAGAAGCACCGGCUAACUCCGUGCCAGCAGCCGCGGUAAUACGGAGGGUGCGAGCGUUAAUCGGAAUUACUGGGCGUAAAGCGCACGCAGGCGGUUAUAUAAGCUAGAUGUGAAAGCCCCGGGCUCAACCUGGGAAUAGCAUUUAGAACUGUAUGACUAGAGUCUUGGAGAGGGGGGUGGAAUUCCAGGUGUAGCG
rnacentral:rRNA from 1 species